GCACAGGGCCAAGGCAGAGCCCACCCACCCCCAUCCAGCCCACAUUUGUCUCUUUUGAACAUUCUAGACUGUCAAGGAGCCAGCACCUGUGCAGAAGCCGGAAAAGGAGUCAGAGCCAGAGAAACCACCACCUCCACCACCAACACCAUCACCUCCGCCCCCGCCUCCGCCUCCUGGAAACAUCUGCCCCACUGUGAUUGUUUGCUGCUCUGGGUGCCAAGGAGUGUGUGGGAUGAGAGGGAUAAAGGGCAAUCUGGAUACCUUCGGUGACCUCUGUCACCCAAACUACAGCCAGGUGCCAUGGAUGUGGUGUCAGCACAGGGACCAGUCCAGUCCUUUGCACCUGGAAGACGAUCUCAUCCCCAGGGUUUAUAGAGAGACCUGCACUGGCCAGACCUCCUGCAUCAGGACAGCACAGGCUCUCUGUGGCCAGGUGGCUGCGCACUGAGAAGACCUUGCAGGCUGUGAGCCUCUGGACACCACUGAUUAGAAACGGGCCGGGAGCCCUGGGAGGCGUGCUGACACCUGGCAGGGCAUUGCUGGUGUCAGAGGCAGGCAGGGCUCCUCCAGCCGCUGAGCUCCUGGCUCUGUGGCUCUGCACUGGGUUCUCAAUCCCAGCCAUGCUUACACAGAAGCCCAUCCUCCAUUACACAGAAGCCCAUCCUCCAUUACACAGAAGCCCAUCCUCCACCCGAGGUCCCAUAGGCCUCUCCACGUUGCCACGGUGCAGCUCCAGUCACACAGAACUAGUCCAGCCUUGUGCACUGAACAGGCGAGACGCUCAGUCAGGCAGGAAGGACAGAACUUGAUGGCAGAGAGUGAAAACGGGCACCUCGAGCGGCGGGAAGGCAAGAGACUUGGGGGUGGGCACAGGAAAGAGCCAGAAAUGGCCUUCCUGCCCCGUGUGGUGAGGCAGGGAUGGAGCAAGAAUCUGAAAUUGUCCCUUUCCCGAGGGCAGCUCCUUGAAGCUAAGGUUUGGGGGAGGGUGGCAGAGUAAUUGCAUUAUGGAGGGCACUUACCACUGCUCAGGGCUCUCGCAGGCUGGUUGACUGUCAAAAUGAAGUCCACCCUAUAAUUCUUGGAGCAGGAGAGACAAUCCCUAUCUUACUAAUAGCAGAAUAGAGGCCCAGAGUUGCCCAGAAAGCUGCCCGAGGCCACCUCCAGGGCUAUCAGAAAUCAACCCAGAUCUUC
rnacentral:lncRNA from 1 species